rnacentral:rRNA from 1 species
AUUGAACGCUGGCGGCAGGCCUAACACAUGCAAGUCGAGCGGAUGAAGGGAGCUUGCUCCUGGAUUCAGCGGCGGACGGGUGAGUAAUGCCUAGGAAUCUGCCUGGUAGUGGGGGAUAACGUCCGGAAACGGGCGCUAAUACCGCAUACGUCCUGAGGGAGAAAGUGGGGGAUCUUCGGACCUCACGCUAUCAGAUGGGCCUAGGUCGGAUUAGCUUGUUGGUGGGGUAAAGGCCUACCAAGGCGACGAUCCGUAACUGGUCUGAGAGGAUGAUCAGUCACACUGGAACUGAGACACGGUCCAGACUCCUACGGGAGGCAGCAGUGGGGAAUAUUGGACAAUGGGCGAAAGCCUGAUCCAGCCAUGCCGCGUGUGUGAAGAAGGUCUUCGGAUUGUAAAGCACUUUAAGUUGGGAGGAAGGGCAGUAAGUUAAUACCUUGCUGUUUUGACGUUACCAACAGAAUAAGCACCGGCUAACUUCGUG